AUUGAACGCUGGCGGCAUGCCUAACACAUGCAAGUCGCGCGGGGUGUAGCAAUACACUUAGCGGCGGACGGGUGAGGAAUACAUAGGAAUUUGCCUUUAGGUGGGGGAUAGCCCAGGGAAACUUGGAGUAAUACCGCAUGACGUCGUGAGACCAAAGCCGGGGAUCGCAAGACCUGGCGCCUUUAGAGAAGCCUCAGCAAGAUUAGCUAGUUGGUAGGGUAACGGCCUACCAAAGCAACGAUCAGUAGCUGGUCUGAGAGGACGAUCAGCCACACCGGAACUGAGACACGGUCCGGGCACCUACGGGUGGCAGCAGUGGGGAAUAUUGGACAAUGGGCGCAAGCCUGAUCCAGCAAUGCCGCGUGUGUGAAGAAGGCCUUCGGGUUGUAAAGCACUUUAAGCUGGGAAGAAAAAAUCGGAGCUAACGUCUCCGGUCUAGACGGUACCAGAAGAAUAAGCAACGGCUAACUCUGUGCCAGCCGCCGCAGUAACAC
rnacentral:rRNA from 1 species